rnacentral:rRNA from 1 species
GACACUAAACUACACCGGUGUCCGCCAGAAGAUUACGAGCGAAAAGCUUAAAACUCAAAGGACUUGGCGGUGCUCCAUACCGACUUAGAGGAGCCUGUCCUAUAAUCGAUACUCCACGCUAAACCUCACCACUCUUUGCCCACACAGCCUAUAUACCGCCGUCGCCAACUUACCCCAUGAGGGAAAAACAGUAGGUAAAAAAGUCAAACACUAAUACGUCAGGUCAAGGUGUAGCUAAUAGACUGGUUAGAGAUGGGCUACAUUUUUAAAACUUAAAAAAACGGCAUGGCAUUUUGAAACUAAUUCCUAAAGGAGGAUUUAAUAGUAAAAUUAGCAAGAAAGCUAAUUU